ensembl:lncRNA
UGCUUUAAAGAGUCGGUCUAUGCUCUCGCUGCCUUCCACAGGCGUUUCUCCGCAGUGAGGGGAGCAGACAGACGCGUUCAUCGCCGAGAUGGCAGCAUCUCACAGACCUCAAACUUUGAAAACUCUCCCUCUUCUCCGGACAGGACGUCGUGUGGAUUGAGGCUGCCGCUACCGAAAACCAGAAGAGUCCCAAGGGCUUGAGUUCCUGAGUUCUUCAACAUCAAGCAGGAGCACAGGCCUGCAGAAGACAAAGCACCUCUGCGUCUGUCGUCCCGGUUGAAGAACACGGCAGACUGUGUUUGUUCUACGGUCUGACGAGCGGCCCUUAGCGUUGAUUAACGACUGCCGACGGGUAACAGAAAGCAGCUGGCCCCACCAGCUCAACCGCAGUCUCGUUCCUCCUGAACCCUCUCGCGUUACAACUUCUUUGAAAAAGGGUUUAUACUAAACCGGACCCAAAGGUUGAAAGUAUGGUUUUAACCUUUGAUACCACUUCCAGGUUCAUAAACCAUCGCCAACCGAAAGGGUUAUUCAUUGUUACACUGACGCAGACAAUGUCAUCCAAAUUUGUCUAACCUUCGGUAGGUACUGCAAACAUUGAAUUGGUUUAAUCUUUGGCAUUUGCCGUAGACAAAGAUUAGUAGACACGCACACACGUCACUGUGAACAAACAUUAGCAGCCCACACCUAACCAUAUAGAGCCACACAGGUGUCUGAAUAUGCUCCACUCCACCUCUGAGGUUGAUGGGAUGUGUGAGCUGCUAGCUGGUGGACCAGUGUUUCCUCUGACUCAUGUUGACAGUGGAACACAAUGGGCUCCAUUUAAUUGGCUGUCAUAAACACACAUCGCCACCGACCGUCGAAGCCUCCUCUACAACACCUCCAGUGUGCGGAUCACAGGAAGUACUUGUGUGUGCUUGUGUCUGCCGCGUUGUCAGAGACGAUUAGGGCCAGACGUGUCCUGGGCGUCAUCGCGUCACCGCGGCGGACCCUGACGUGAUGGAAUAAAAGCGGACCUGCUCCGGGGGAGAGGUAUCAAGCCCACCUAGCCUCGACCAGAGAGAGGUGGAGGACGGAGAACCGGGGAGAGGAAGACUUUAGACCAACUCAGUGACUGACUUCCACAAGGUAUCAACCACCGCCACCUCCACCACCACCUCCAACCGUUAACAACCCCACCCCACCCCAACUCAGAGCCCCUCCCCCC